rnacentral:rRNA from 1 species
GAUGAACGCUGGCGGCGUGCCUAAUACAUGCAAGUCGAGCGAACAGACGAGGAGCUUGCUCCUUUGACGUUAGCGGCGGACGGGUGAGUAACACGUAGGUAACCUACCUAUAAGACUGGGAUAACUUCGGGAAACCGGAGCUAAUACCGGAUAAUAUUUUGAACCGCAUGGUUCGAUAGUGAAAGAUGGCUUUGCUAUCACUUAUAGAUGGAUCUGCGCCGUAUUAGCUAGUUGGUAAGGUAACGGCUUACCAAGGCAACGAUACGUAGCCGACCUGAGAGGGUGAUCGGCCACACUGGAACUGAGACACGGUCCAGACUCCUACGGGAGGCAGCAGUAGGGAAUCUUCCGCAAUGGGCGAAAGCCUGACGGAGCAACGCCGCGUGAGUGAUGAAGGUCUUCGGAUCGUAAAACUCUGUUAUUAGGGAAGAACAAACGUGUAAGUAACUGUGCACGUCUUGACGGUACCUAAUCAGAAAGCCACGGCUAACUACGUG